UUAGUUGAAGCCAAAAAGAGGCUUUCCACUGUUAAUGGAAGAAUUGAAAUUAUCCUGCUAAG
rnacentral:tRNA from 1 species